GCGGGGGAUGGGGGAUGGACAUUGAGGAGAGCAUUUGUUGGGAUGAGCACUGGGUGUUGUACGUAAGUGAAGAAUCACAGGAAUCUAAUCCCAGAACCAAGAGCACACUGUAUACACUGUAUGUUAGCCAACUUGACAAUAAAUUAUAUUUAAAAAAAAAAAUAAAGAGAAAGAAAAGAGAUUUAU